rnacentral:rRNA from 1 species
AUGGAGAAGGAGAAGAAGCUGUCCUUCUCCAUCCCUUCCAAGCUAAGGCCGCCCAAGCCCCGCCCCGCCGCCGGCGCUGAUUCCUCCGCCGCUAGCGGCAACUCCGCUUCCGCGGCCGCUGCCCCCGCCCAGCAAUUCGUCACCGAGUUCGAUCCGUCGCAAACCCUAGCCGCCGGCGCCGCGUCCGCCGUCAUCGCGCCCCUCCCCAACUCCGGCCACUUCCUCAACCACCGCUCCCGCAAACCCUCCUCCCUCCCGACCCCCGAGGAGGAGGCCGCCCUCGCCGCCUCCACCGCCGGUGGCCCCACAUUCGUGCUCGACACCUCCGAGGCCCCGGACAAUCCCUCCUCCCACAUAGGGUAUGGCCUCACCCGACGCGGCGCCGAUGCCGACGCUGAGGCCGACGCCACGGAGCCGGGGAAGACGCAGUCUUCCAAGGAACCAGAGAAGAAGCCGACCUCUCCAGCCAGAGAUGGCGGCUCCAGCGGUGACCUUAUGCUGCGACGGUACAAGGAGGACAUGGCCAGCCUCCCCGACCACCGUGGUAUAGACGAGUUUGCGGAGGUGCCUGUGGAGGGCUUCGGUGCUGCCCUCCUUGCUGGUUACGGCUGGUCAGAAGGCAAAGGGCUCGGCCGCAAUAACAAGGAAGAUACCAAGGUUGUUGAGUAUAACCGCCGUGCCGGUACGCUGGGAUUAGGCUACGACCCUUCUGAGGCAGACCCUAAGAAGACUCGCUCUGGCGACUGGGUUAUUGGUGGAAAGAAGCCGACAGAGAAUGGUGGAAAGAAGUCCGCAGAGAAUGGAAAUGCAAAGAAGAGAGAUAGGGACAAGGAAGACAGAGUCCGGGAGAGGGAUUCAAGUGCCCGGCAGAAGAGAUCUGGUGAUCUUAGGGCUGAUAGGGUGGUUCGAGAGAAAGAGAGAAAUUCUCGGGAUAGUCGAGAAGAAAAGAGUAGCCGUGAUGUUGGUAACAAAGUGCGCUGGUUACAGAGCAAUAUUAGGGUUAGAGUUGUUAAUGAGAGGUUCAGCAGAAGGUUGUACCUGCAGAAGGCAAAAAUUGUUGAUGUGGUUGGACCAACGACAUGUGACAUAAUGAUGGAUGAUGGGUCAGAGCUUGUGCAGGGGGUGGAGCAGGAUAUGCUUGAAACGGUCCUGCCACGGACAAACGGGCAAGUGCUUGUGCUCUGUGGGAAGCACAAGGGUGUGUAUGGGCAUCUGGUAGAGAAGAAUUCAGAGGCAGAGACUGCAGUAGUGGAGGAUGCGGAUACAAAAGACAUGGUGCGUGUGAAAUAUGAUCAGAUUGCAGAGUACGUUGGGGACCCAGAAUUGCUUGGGCACUGA